UAAGCGCGCCGUGACUGACGGGCAAGCGUGGAAGACCACGGGGGAGCAGCGCGCGAUUUCCGCCGACCGUCUGGGCAAGCCGA
rnacentral:ncRNA from 2 species